rnacentral:rRNA from 1 species
UACGGGGGGGGUAAGCGUUGUUCGGAAUUACUGGGCGUAAAGGGCUCGUAGGCGGCCAACUAAGUCAGACGUGAAAUCCCUCAGCUUAACUGGGGAACUGCGUCUGAUACUGGAUGGCUUGGAUUUGGGAGAGGGAUGCGGAAUUCCAGGUGUAGCGGUGAAAUGCGUAGAUAUCUGGAGGAACACCAGUGGCGAAAGCGCGUGACUGGGCCACAACUGACGCUGAGGAACGAAAGCCAGGGGAGCGAAAGGG